UUACAGAGGCCCUGAAUCUCAUAGUAGAUGGUGUACGUAAUCUUCGAAACAAGGUGGUGUUGAAUCUGAGACCGACUUAUUAAUUGUUACUCUGCCAUCGAUGCCAUAGAUCUGGAUUGGUUUUUGGAAGGAUAACACCAGCUAUGUGAGUACGGAAAUGGGUGUCUUCGUGUACAGUAGAGAUCGUUACACGUUGUGGGCAAUCCUUGUUUCUGUCAUGGUCAACUGGGAGGAAGUUUGGCUUUGAAGUCUAUGAAGGUGUGCCGUCUUGACCGCUUAAGGCUUUGCAGAAUCACGAGUAACUACAGUGGUCAUCGACACCAGUCUUAAAAGGUGCUGGAAAGCUUGAAUUUGCAAGACGUAUUUUUUUUAUCAAGCCUACCGCAGAGCUACGAAUCUUGAAAGUAAUUUAACAUUGAUAGCAAUUUUGAAUUUAGAAGACUGGAAUGUAAAAACAGGUUUUUUGAGUCUUGAAAAAUGUGUGAAAUGGUAUUUUUAGAUCUGAAUAAAAUUGAACUUUUUUAAGGUUUUGUCGUAAACCUCUGAAUUCUGAUCUCCCUUAAU